CUCUAGACUACCACCGUCGGGUAUAUAUUGACGCUAAACACAUGUUCUUACAAACCUACACUAAACACUGCAACACAGAUAUUCAAAGCAACGCCUCUUUUACUCUUUUUCAUCGAGUUAUUAUAAAAAUUUCUUCCUUGGUUCGUUUUAAUUUUCUUCUUGAUUUACGUUAUUGUAUUUGCCAAAAUUUGAUGGGAGAAGAGAGCGAUGAUUAUAAAAAAACAAGAUUAAAAUUCUGAUCUGCUCUAUUACUGGGCAUGAUAGACUCAUAUACACCCAUAGAAUAUGAGCUCUCUUCUCAAUCAUCUAUU